GAAAGUGUUACAUUCCAAACUUUAGAAAAAGAAAACUACUCACGCAUUGUGAGUUUUACAACUAAACUUGAAAUAAGAAAACAAAGAGAAAACAUCAGAAGAAAUAGAAUAAGGAACCCAAGUUGAAAAUUUGUGGAACUUUAGCUGAAAAUCUUUUUCAGAAAUCUUGCCAAAUGAUCUCCUCCCAUGUCUUCACAAUGGCAGAAAGUAAUGCUUGAAUGUAAAAGAAGAAUCCUCCCUUUUCAAAACUCUGAUUUGCCGCUCUUAUAUCUGAUGUAAAAACCAUCGUUUUAAAUUCCCAAAAGCCUUAGAAGUCUCCUUGGAGUCGAUCAGAAAGAAGGGGAGUUGAGCUUGAAGACUACACGGGGCGUGCUGUUCUUUAGGUUACACGGGUUUGACUUGUGCUCUCUUCUGCCCUUUAGCUUUUUCUGUGUUCAGCAAGCUACUCGGGUCCCUUAGGUUAUACGGGUCAUGCUAUUUAAUUCCUUUUGAGAUCUCCUUUACGUGGGUCGUGUAAUUAGUUACACACCCCGUGUACUCCCUUUUGUUCUCCAAACUUCAUUUUUAGACUUCUUUCUCUUUCCAAUCAUGCCUUUGCCUUCAAAUAUGCUUGGAUUACACUUGAAAUGUUAUGGAAAUCAGAUGUUGCAACAAAUCAAGAAUUCUAUGAAAUAUAAAUAAAAUAACUAUAGAAAACUAUCUACUUAAGCUAUAAAAAAGAGAAAAAUGCAAUAGUUACUAUCCUCGAUGCCUAUGUAAAAUGAGUUCAUCAUUAAUUUGAAGAGCUACUUUAAUCUUUUUUUUUUUUACUUAAAUUUUAUCAUAAAAUGCAAAAGCCUAAAUUUGUGCUUAGCAAAUAUUAUUAAAGCCUA
rnacentral:misc_RNA from 1 species